rnacentral:lncRNA from 1 species
GGGAGCUUAGAAAACUGCCUUUAUUCUAUUAGUUGUUGGAAAAAUGAAAAUACAGAAAGUUUAGUUGGCUGCAGAACAGCAAGAAGUUCACAGGUUAGGAGUCUGAUCACUACGUGGUAACCAAACUUACACAAAAAGUUUCCUUUUUUUUUUUCUUUUUUCUUUUCUUUUAGUUUUGAAACUGGGUCCAGCAAUGAGCUUAAGGCAACUGAACAGUUCAGAAGCUUUGAGUGUGAGCAGGCUGUCUUUUCUCAUCCCUACGGCACGUCAUGGAAAAAAACUCCUCCUGGCUGUGCAGAGCACUGGGAUCAUUCAGAGAGAAGAAAGAAGAGAGAGAAUUGUCUUCAAUUAGCGCCUGGCAUAUCCUGUGAGUGCAGAAAAGGUUUGACAGGCUCCUGCAACAACACAAAGGGACGUUAAAGCCAAGCGACGUGCUCAGGAAGGAGCUGCAGUAUCUGCUCUGAUUGCUUCAGAACACACACGCACACACCACUGAAGCCAUUUCCCUUUACAGCUUGAUCAUGAAGCGCUCGCUAUGCAACACACAGCAGGCUGCCGAUGCCCACUCCACGCUCUGGGCACAACUGACAUGCACUUUCAUAGCAUCACUGAAUGGCCUGGGUUGAAAAGGACCACAGUGCUCAUCCAGUUCCAACCCCCUGCUAUGUGCAGGGUCGCCAAC